rnacentral:rRNA from 1 species
GGAUCAUUAAAGAAAUAAUCUCAAAGGCCCAAGGAAAGGAGAGGGGGUUGUAGCUGGCCUUUUAUCGGCACGUGCACGCUCUCUUUCUCGACCUAGGCCUUAUGGGCGCGGGGCGACCCGCGUCUUCAUAAGCCCCUUCGUGUAGAAAGUCUAUGAAUGUUUUUACCAUCAUCGAGUCGCGACUUCUAGGAGACGCGGUUCUUUGAGACAAAAGUUUAUUACAACUUUCAGCAAUGGAUCUCUUGGCUCUCGCAUCGAUGAAGAACGCAGCGAAUCGCGAUAUGUAAUGUGAAUUGCAGAUCUACAGUGAAUCAUCGAAUCUUUGAACGCACCUUGCGCUUAUCGGUGUUCCGAUGAGCAUGCCUGUUUGAGCGUCUUUAAAUUCUCAACCCCUCUCGAUUCGUUUCGAGAGGGAGCUUGGAUUGUGGAGGCUGCCGGAGACCUGUUUUUCAGGACUCGGGCUCCUCUGAAAUGUAUUGGCUUGCGGUCGACUUUCGACCAUGCAUGACAAGGCCUUUGGCGUGAUAAUGAUCGCCGCUCGCCGAAGUGCAUGAAUGAAUGGUCUCGUGCCUCUAAUCAGUCGACGCCUUUUCGAAGGACGUCUUCCUUAUCGACGUUUGACCUCAAAUCAGGUAGGACUACCCGCUGAACUUAAGCAUAUCAAUAAGCGGAGGAAAAGAAACUAACAAGGAUUCCCCUAGUAACUGCGAGUGAACCGGGAAAAGCUCAAAUUUUGAAUCUGGCGGUCCUCGCGGCCGUCCGAGUUGUAAUCUAGAGAAGCGUCUUCCGCGCUGGACCGUGUAUAAGUUUCCUGGAAAGGAACGUCGUAGAGGGUGACAAUCCCGUCUUUGA